AAGAUUAAACUGAAGAGUUUGAUCAUGGCUCAGAUUGAACGCUGGCGGCAGGCUUAACACAUGCAAGUCGAACGAUGAGUAUCCAGCUUGCUGGAUAUGAUUAGUGGCGAACGGGUGAGUAAUGCUUAGGAAUCUGCCUAGUAGUGGGGGAUAACCAUCCGAAAGGAUGGCUAAUACCGCAUACGACCUACGGGUGAAAGGGGGCGUAAGCUCUCGCUAUUAGAUGAGCCUAAGUCGGAUUAGCUGGUUGGUGGGGUAAAGGCCUACCAAGGCGACGAUCUGUAGCUGGUCUGAGAGGAUGAUCAGCCACACUGGGACUGAGACACGGCCCAGACUCCUACGGGAGGCAGCAGUGGGGAAUAUUGGACAAUGGGCGAAAGCCUGAUCCAGCCAUGCCGCGUGUGUGAAGAAGGCCUUUUGGUUGUAAAGCACUUUAAGUGGGGAGGAAAAGCUUGUGGUUAAUACCCACAAGCCCUGACGUUACCCACAGAAUAAGCACCGGCUAACUCUGUGCCAGCAGCCGCGGUAAUACAGAGGGUGCGAGCGUUAAUCGGAAUUACUGGGCGUAAAGCGCGCGUAGGUGGUUGUUUAAGUCAGAUGUGAAAUCCCUGGGCUUAACCUAGGAACUGCAUCUGAUACUGGACAACUAGAGUAGGUGAGAGGGAAGUAGAAUUCCAGGUGUAGCGGUGAAAUGCGUAGAGAUCUGGAGGAAUACCGAUGGCGAAGGCAGCUUCCUGGCAUCAUACUGACACUGAGGUGCGAAAGCGUGGGUAGCAAACAGGAUUAGAUACCCUGGUAGUCCACGCCGUAAACGAUGUCUACCAGUCGUUGGGUCUUUUAAAGACUUAGUGACGCAGUUAACGCAAUAAGUAGACCGCCUGGGGAGUACGGCCGCAAGGUUAAAACUCAAAUGAAUUGACGGGGGCCCGCACAAGCGGUGGAGCAUGUGGUUUAAUUCGAUGCAACGCGAAGAACCUUACCUGGUCUUGACAUAUCUAGAAUCCUGCAGAGAUGCGGGAGUGCCUUCGGGAAUUAGAAUACAGGUGCUGCAUGGCUGUCGUCAGCUCGUGUCGUGAGAUGUUGGGUUAAGUCCCGCAACGAGCGCAACCCUUUUCCUUAGUUACCAGCGACUCGGUCGGGAACUCUAAGGAUACUGCCAGUGACAAACUGGAGGAAGGCGGGGACGACGUCAAGUCAUCAUGGCCCUUACGACCAGGGCUACACACGUGCUACAAUGGUUGGUACAAAGGGUUGCUACACAGCGAUGUGAUGCCAAUCUCAAAAAGCCAAUCGUAGUCCGGAUUAGAGUCUGCAACUCGACUCUAUGAAGUCGGAAUCGCUAGUAAUCGCAGAUCAGAAUGCUGCGGUGAAUACGUUCCCGGGCCUUGUACACACCGCCCGUCACACCAUGGGAGUUGAUCUCACCAGAAGUGGGUAGCCUAACGCAAGAGGGCGCUCACCACGGUGGGGUCGAUGACUGGGGUGAAGUCGUAACAAGGUAGCCGUAGGGGAACCUGCGGCUGGAUCACCUCCUUAA
rnacentral:rRNA from 1 species